AUUGAACGCUGGCGGAAUGCUUUACACAUGCAAGUCGAACGGCAGCACGGACUUCGGUCUGGUGGCGAGUGGCGAACGGGUGAGUAAUGUAUCGGAACGUGCCCAGUCGUGGGGGAUAACGUAGUGAAAAUUACGCUAAUACCGCAUACGAUCUAUGGAUGAAAGCGGGGGAUCGCAAGACCUCGCGCGAUUGGAGCGGCCGAUAUCAGAUUAGGUAGUCGGUGGGGUAAAGGCCCACCUAGCCAACGAUCUGUAGCUGGUCUGAGAGGACGACCAGCCACACUGGAACUGAGACACGGUCCAGACUCCUACGGGAGGCAGCAGUGGGGAAUUUUGGACAAUGGGCGAAAGCCGGAUCCAGCCAUUCCGCGUGCAGGAUGAAGGCCCUCGGGUUGUAAACUGCUUUUGUACAGAACGAAAAGGUUUCUACUAAUACUAGGAGCUCAUGACGGUACUGUAAGGAUAAGCACCGGCUAACUACGUGCCAGCCGCCGCCGUAA
rnacentral:rRNA from 1 species